GAGUUGUGAGAGCUCCUGCAGAAUUCAAAUGGUAUGGUAGUGUUCUCCUCUGUAAACCACCCCACAGCACGUCUGUCCGUCUGAUUGGGAUAUCGCGGAAGUGCGUGGGCCAACUCCUUCUCACCAGCAGCGUACCCACAGGCUGCAGGGAUGUCCUCCUUCCACAGGAAUGGAACUUAAGCUCUGCACUCUACAUAACUCACCCUUCCUUCUCCAACAUCAAAGAAGCCAGAAGCUUCGCCAUCAGCACAGAACGGGUGGGUUUCCACAGCUUUCAGCAGGGAGCUGCUCCUGCUUUGCUCCAGGAGAGACAUCUGGAGAGGUUGCUCAUUCUGCUCCAGUGCCCAUCCCAGCUGGGCUGGCAGCUGCAUGCACACCAGGCAACGUCCAGGUUAGGCACUGCCUGAGAAACCUCCUCCAUCCCAGAGAUGAAAUGCGGUGGCACUUCAAGGGCUACAGAAAUACACAGAGUUGGAGUUGCUGCUUUAGAAGUCAUCUCACUGUGUGCUUCCUAGCGACAAAAAAUAAAAUUCUCGUGGGGACUAACAGAAAACAUGGCUAAUUUCUGUUAUAAAGAGUACACUCUAAUGCUUACAAAUCAAACACCUCAAAGUAUAGCAGCUCAGAGGUCUUAAAAGCACUAACAGAAACUAAUUUACUUUUAACGCUUUCCUCAGACUACUAUUUUAUUAAUGCACUAAUAGUUAUUUUCAUCUGCUUCUCCUCAAAAAUAAACUGACAACAGUUUUCAGCUAAUUUGAUGUAUUUUUUGGAUUAUUAUUUAGAACCCCCUUGAUAUAUUUGCCAAUGAAUUUACAAGAAUUGUUGCAUUGUAAGAAUAUCCAGACAAGCCAUAUGCAAUUGAUUCCCAUAAAACAAAGUAUUUUACAGAAAAAUAAGUUACCUGUAGUUAACCCUUUAAUACUUACUGAACUGUACCAAGACCAUUUCCACAUAUACCUUUAAAAAGAAAACCAACAAUUAUUAAUCUGGAAAGUGUAUUUUUAAAUAAAAUAUCUACAAUUUGCUCCUC